UAGUUAAAGUGUGUGUUAAUAAUGUUCUGUUAAUGAUUCGUGUGUGCAUUUAUGUUAUCUUGGUUUUAGUUUUGUAUGGUUGAUUUAGUUGAUUAUGUUUAUCUAC